CUCCAGAUGACGAGUCCCAAAUAGGCCGAAAUGCGCGCCCUGGAU
rnacentral:hammerhead_ribozyme from 1 species